rnacentral:rRNA from 1 species
AUUAAUGAAUGAAAAUGGCGAAGUCGAGGAAUACAGGCGAUGCUGUCGCUGGUGUUAUAGACACAUGUGCACGCUCCCUGAGGACCUCUUCGACGUCUCUCAUCUCAUCUCUCUCACCUGUGCACCUAAUGUAGGUCUGCUAGAGCCUCUCUCUCUGCGGGGGGAAAGGACAAAGCAAAGUACCUAUGUCUUCAAAUACAUCUUUGUGUAGAAAGUCUUUGAAUGUUUUAUUAUCAUAGAGUCACGACUUCUAGGAGACGUGGGUCUAAGAGUUAAAAGUUAUUACAACUUUCAGCAAUGGAUCUCUUGGCUCUCGCAUCGAUGAAGAACGCAGCGAAAAGCGAUAUGUAAUGUGAAUUGCAGAUCUACAGUGAAUCAUCGAAUCUUUGAACGCACCUUGCGCUCCUUGGUAUUCCGAGGAGCAUGCCUGUUUGAGUGUCAGUAAUUUCUCAACCCCUUUUGAUUAGAUUCAAGAGGGAGCUUGGAUAGUGGGGGUCUGCUGGAGACUUGGGCUUUUGUCUGAGAUUCGAGCUCUCCUGAAAUGCAUCGGCUUGCGGUCGACCUUCGACUUUGCGUGAAAAGGCUUUUGGCGUGAUAAUGAUCGUCAUGUGCUGAAGCGCAAAAAGUCAAGGCUUCAUGUCCGUGCCUCUAAUACGUCGACCCUCUCUUCUGANGGGUCUUCCUUAUUGACUUUUUGANCUCAAAUCAGGUAGGACUACCCGCUGAACUUAAGCAUANCA